rnacentral:rRNA from 1 species
CCUACGGGAGGCAGCAGUGGGGAAUAUUGGGCAAUGGAGGCAACUCUGACCCAGCAACGCCGCGUGAAUGAUGAAGGUCUUCGGAUUGUACAGUUCUUUUCUACGGGAAGAAGAAAGUGACGGUACUUUAGGAAUAAGCCUCGGCUAACUACGUGCCAGCAGCCGCGGUAAUACGUAGGAGGCAAGCGUGAUCCGGAAGGACUGGGCGUAAAGGGUGCGUAGGUGGUUUGACAAGUUAGUAGCGCAACUCCGUAGCUCAACUUCGGAACUACUACUAAAAAUGUUGGACUUGAGUGCAGGAGGGGCAGUCAGAAUUCCUGGUGUAGCGGUGGAAUGCGGAGAGAUUAGGAGGAACACCAGUGGCGAAGGCGGAUUGCUAGACUGUAACUGACACUGAGGCACGAAAGCGUGGGGAGCAAACAGGAUUAGAUACCCUAGUAGUC